GAGCCGUAAGCACAGUGGUUGUGCAACGCCAUGAAAAGGCGUAGGUCGGGGGUUCGAGUCCCUCACGGCUCA
rfam:Candidatus Woesebacteria bacterium RIFCSPHIGHO2_12_FTLL_42_9 rifcsphigho2_12_scaffold_1909, whole genome shotgun sequence.